rnacentral:lncRNA from 1 species
GCGAAAGUGCUCAGCCACAGGGUAGAUGUGCAUUUAACUUUAAAAGAAACAGUUCUUCAAUGUUGCUGCACACCCCUCCCCUCUCCACCAGCUCUAUAUUUUCCUCCCCUAAGGGCCUAGGUUCUUUAAGUUGAGGAUUUGGCAGGAGAGAAGAAGCCACAUCAUGAGGAUCCCUGCUGCCAGAGCACAGUGGCCUGAAUCGGACACUUAAAAAGCUGAAACAGGUGUUUGAAACCCUACUCCAGCCUCCCUGUUUGGUGCCAGCCCCCUGAGAGGCUAAGGCUUGGCCAGGAGAAUUCGGCUCAUCUAAUGGAUGCCGAUUAGAGACUUUUACAAGACAUAGCUACAUAAUAGUGUAUAUGCUGUGACGUGGUACAUUUAAAGCAGAUGCUGCAACCAGAACCACAUACGGCAUUCGAAGUCUUUGCAUGUUGUAAUGUUUUCAAAAUUACAUACGAUGUGGCCCAUGACUGUGAGGACCUCUUUAGCUAUAAAACAAUCUCCCUCUGAUGCCAAGCCGAAGCUGGACUGUACUCCCGCCAUCUCGGCUCACUGCAACCUCCCUGCCUGAUUCUCCUGCCUCAGCCUGCCAAGUGCCUGGGAUUGCAGGCGCGCGCCGCCACGCCUGACUGGUUUUUCUAUUUUUUUGGUGGAGACGGGGUUUCGCUGUGUUGGCCGGGCUGGUCUCCAGCUCCUAACCGCGAGUGAUCUGCCAGCCUCGGCCUCCCGAGGUGCCGGGAUUGCAGAGGGAGUCUCGUUCACUCAAUGCUCAAUGUUGCCCAGGCUGGAGUGCAGUGGCGUGAUCUCGGCUCGCUACAACCUCCACCUCCCAGCCGCCUGCCUUGGCCUCCCAAAGUGCCGAGAUUGCAGCCUCUGCCCGGCCGCCACCCCUUCUGGGAAGUGAGGAGCGUCUCUGCCUGGCCGCCCAUCGUCUGGGAUGUGAGGAGCCCCUCUGCCCAGCUGCCCAGUCUGGGAAGUGAGGAGCGCCUCUUCCCGGCCGCCAUCCCGUCUAGGAAGUGAGGAGCGUCUCUGCCCAGCCGCCCAUCGUCUGAGAUGUGGGGAGCGCCUCUGCCCCGCCGCCCCAUCUGGGAUGUGAGGAGCGCCUCUGCCCGGCCGCGACCCCGUCUGGGAGGUGAGGAGCGUCUCUGCCCGGCCGCCCCGUCUGAGAAGUGAGGAGCCCCUCCGCCCGGCAGCUGCCCAGUCUGAGAAGUGAGGAGCCCCUCCGCCCGGCAGCCGCCCCGUCUGGGAGGUGUACCCAACAGCUCACUGAGAACGGGUCAUGAUGACGAUGGCGGUUUUGUCGAAUAGAAAAGGGGGAAAUGUGGGGAAAAGAUAGAGAAAUCAGAUUGUUGCUGUGUCUGUGUAGAAAGAAGUAGACACAGGAGACUCCACUUUGUUCUGUACUAAGAAAAAUUCUUCUGCCUUGGGAUGCUGUUAAUCUAUAACCUUACCCCCAACCCCGUGCUCUCUGAAACAUGUGCUGUGUCCACUCAGGGUUAAAUGGAUUAAGGGUGGUGCAAGAUGUGCUUUGUUAAACAGAUGCUUGAAGGCAGCAUGCUCAUUAAGAGUCAUCACCACUCCCUAAUCUCAAGUACCCAGGGACACAAACACUGCGGAAGGCCACAGGGUCCUCUGCCUAGGAAAACCAGAGACCUCUGUUCACUUGUUUAUUUGCUGACCUUCCCUCCACUAUUGUCCUGUGACCCUGCCAAAUCCCCCUCUGCGAGAAACACCCAAGAAUGAUCA